AGAGUUUGAUCAUGGCUCAGAUUGAACGCUGGCGGCAGGCCUAACACAUGCAAGUCGAGCGGUAGAGAGAAGCUUGCUUCUCUUGAGAGCGGCGGACGGGUGAGUAAUGCCUAGGAAUCUGCCUGGUAGUGGGGGAUAACGUUCGGAAACGGACGCUAAUACCGCAUACGUCCUACGGGAGAAAGCAGGGGACCUUCGGGCCUUGCGCUAUCAGAUGAGCCUAGGUCGGAUUAGCUAGUUGGUGAGGUAAUGGCUCACCAAGGCGACGAUCCGUAACUGGUCUGAGAGGAUGAUCAGUCACACUGGAACUGAGACACGGUCCAGACUCCUACGGGAGGCAGCAGUGGGGAAUAUUGGACAAUGGGCGAAAGCCUGAUCCAGCCAUGCCGCGUGUGUGAAGAAGGUCUUCGGAUUGUAAAGCACUUUAAGUUGGGAGGAAGGGUUGUAGAUUAAUACUCUGCAAUUUUGACGUUACCGACAGAAUAAGCACCGGCUAACUCUGUGCCAGCAGCCGCGGUAAUACAGAGGGUGCAAGCGUUAAUCGGAAUUACUGGGCGUAAAGCGCGCGUAGGUGG
rnacentral:rRNA from 1 species